CCCGUGAUCAUCGAGUCUUUGAACGCAAGUUGCGCCCAAAGCCGUUAGGCUGAGGGCACGCCUGCCUGGGCGUCACGC
rnacentral:rRNA from 1 species